CAAGGCUGUCACCAGUCCACUUCGAAAUUCAAGGGGAAGAUCCAACCCACUUCCUGAUGGAAGGAAUGUCAGCCUCACUGUCAGAAGAAUAUAUGGGAAGGGAGAGACACAAAGACCCGACUGGAAUCCAAAUCUUCUUACUAUACUUGUCACUGCACCAUGAUAUAUACCAACUAACUCAGAGAAGAAGAAGGCACACCUUCUGAGAUCUACCCAGACUAAACUGAGAAGAAAGUGGGUUCAACACAGCUGAUAAAACCAG